rnacentral:rRNA from 1 species
GCACUCCCGGGGCGUUUCAUUCUCAUUGCGAGUCGAGACGCACCAGGAGCGCACACGCUGGUACCCGAAAGAUGGUGAACUAUGCCUGGCCAGGACGAAGCCAGGGGAAACCCUGGUGGAGGUCCGAAGCGAUUCUGACGUGCAAAUCGAUCGUCUGAGCUGGGUAUAGGGGCGAAAGACCAAUCGAACCAUCUAGUAGCUGGUUCCCUCCGAAGUUUCCCUCAGGAUAGCUGGCUCUCGGGAAGAGACGAGUCUCAUCCGGUAGAGCGAAUGAUUAGAGGUGAUGGGGUCGAAACGACUUCAACCUAUUCUCAAACUCCCAAUAGAUGAGAGCCCCGGCUUGCUUGAAAGUGAAGCCGCGGGACUCGGAUCAGAGGUGCCAAGUGGGCCAAUUUUGGUAAGCAGAACUGGCGCUGUGGGAUGAACCAAACGCAGAGUUAAGGCGCCUGAUUCGACGCUCAUCUGAAACCAUGAAAGGCGUUGGUUGCUUAAGACAGCAG